rnacentral:rRNA from 1 species
AUUGAACGCUGGCGGCAGGCCUAACACAUGCAAGUCGAAUGGUAACAGGAAACAGCUUGCUGUUUCGCUGACGAGUGGCGGACGGGUGAGUAAUGUCUGGGAAACUGCCUGAUGGAGGGGGAUAACUACUGGAAACGGUAGCUAAUACCGCAUAACGUCGCAAGACCAAAGAGGGGGACCUUCGGGCCUCUUGCCAUCAGAUGUGCCCAGAUGGGAUUAGCUAGUAGGUGGGGUAACGGCUCACCUAGGCGACGAUCCCUAGCUGGUCUGAGAGGAUGACCAGCCACACUGGAACUGAGACACGGUCCAGACUCCUACGGGAGGCAGCAGUGGGGAAUAGUGCACAAUGGGCGCAAGCCUGAUGCAGCCAUGCCGCGUGUAUGAAGAAGGCCGUCGGGUUGUAAAGUACUUUCAGCGGGGAGGAAGGGAGUAAAGUUAAUACCUUUGCUCAUUGACGUUACCCGCAGAAGAAGCACCGGCUAACUCCGU